AACUUUCAACAACGGAUCUCUUGGUUCUGACAUCGAUGAAGAACGCAGCA
rnacentral:rRNA from 1 species